UACAGAGGUCCCAAGCGUUGUUCGGAUUUAUUGGGCGUAAAGCGUGCGUAGACGGCUAUCUAAGUCGGGUGUGAAAGCCCCGGGCUCAACCUGGGAAUUGCAUUCGAGACUGAAUAGCUAGGGUACGGUAGAGGGAAGCGGAAUUUCCGGUGUAGCGGUGAAAUGCGUAGAUAUCGGAAGGAACAUCAGUGGCGAAAGCGGCUUCCUGGACCAGUACCGACGUUCAGGCACGAAAGCGUGGGGAGCAAACAGG
rnacentral:rRNA from 1 species